rnacentral:rRNA from 1 species
ACGGGUGAGUAACGCGUGGGCAACCUGCCUCAAACAGGGGGAUAACACCGGGAAACUGGUGCUAAUACCGCAUAAGACAACAGCAAGGCAUCUUGCAGUUGGAAAAGGAGUGAUCCGGUUUGAGAUGGGCCCGCGUCUGAUUAGCUAGUUGGUAAGGUAACGGCUUACCAAGGCGAUGAUCAGUAGCCGAACUGAGAGGUUGAUCGGCCACAUUGGGACUGAGACACGGCCCAAACUCC